CUCCGGCAUCUGCGUCCCACCCAGGCAGGGAGCGUCCCGCGGCGCGUGGGAGCGGCUAUGCCGGGUCGAACCGGAAGUGACGUCAGCGUGCCCUCGCCUGCUGCGAGGGACGCUGGGAAUCUUCGGUUUCUGCGUCAGGGAAAACCGGGAAAUGGGUUUAGUGACCAACAGCUGUGUUUGAUGACAUACAUUUGGACCACAAGCCCUACCAGUUCUCCCUAUAUCCUUGUGAAGCACACUGAGCAUAUGUGUGUGUGCUCCAUAGAGAGGCUGAGGCCCAGAGCAGUUACAGCUGAUCAAGUGCCCUGGUGAGUACAGAACUGAGCUGGGCUGGGCACGGGGUUCCUGGGCAACUGUUACAAUCGGGAGCCAGUCCUUAUGGACUCGUGCAUGGCAUGGAUGCAGAAGGGCAGCAGAGAGCAGGCAGAGAGAGUUGUGAACACAGUGCUGGGUGAGGUGCCCCUGUACAUCCCAGGCAGGCUUCUGGGAGGAAGAGGCAGUCUUCGUCCUGGAGCCAGGUUGCAGGGCUUAAUCCACUAAAAUGGUGGACCUGUCAAGAAUAUCACAAAGACCGUACAACGGAGGGGAGAGGAUGGUCGUGAAUAUCACUACGCUAACCUUAUCCUAUUAUAAAAAAUAUUUUUAUUUGGGGAAAAUCCUCACAUCUGAUUUUUUAGAAGCAUGUGCAUUAAGAACACAGCAAAACUCACACUUCCAGAGCUAUAUCCUGUUUCUUCUCCUUGAAUCUCCAUUUCCGGUCUCCUUCUGAAGUAACCCAUGGCAGAGUAGCUUUCUGAGCACUCAGUCAUGCAGCCGUCUUUUCUUUUCUUUUGAGACAGGGUUUCACUGCCAUCACCCAGACUAGAGCACAGUUGCAUGAUCUCGGCUCACUACAACCUCCACAUCCUGGGCUCAAGCAGUCCUCCAGCCCUAGCCUCCUGAGCAGCUGGGAUUACAGACACCCACCACCACUCCCAGCUAAUUCUUGUAUUUUUAGUAUUUGAGACAUCUCACUCGAACUCUUGUCCUCAAGUGAUCUGCCCACCUUGACUUCCCAAAGUGUUGGGAUUAUAGGCAUGGCACACCACGCCUGGUCCAUUUUCUUUAAGUAAAUAGUUUUCUGAUGUCUUAGGUAGACAUAGACAUGGAAAACAUGGGUGUUUUAGAGGUUAAUGUAUGUGUCACUGACUACAUUUGUAUUCAAAUAGAAAAGAACAGUUAUUCCAUUGGGCAACAGUUUUCGCACUACGUUAGUAGUGGCCCUUAGAGGAGACAGCAAUAAUGAUGUGAAGACUGUGAGCCAUUGUUUUUAUGAUUUCUGUGUGUUAUAGCCUUGGGGGCUUGUAAAUUUGUGUGUAUGUGUGUACUGAUUACAUAUUCUACUGAAUUGUAAUACUCAACCUAAGAGUACACACCUCUUUUUUGUUUAUGCUCAGAUUUUAAAGUAUAAUCUAGGAUAAAUUAGUCAGCUGAAUUAAAAUACAGUGAGGGUAUCUGAAUUUUAUGAGAUUAAAAUUACAUCUUCUCAGAGGAUGCAUUUCUCCCGAUUCUUUCAAAUGAACCUUUAAUUUCCUUUCUCAGUUAAAACAUCUUUGACCUUGUUUACUAAUUUUCAUUAGACGGAGAAUUCUUUACAAAUCAGCAAAAAAAUGCUGUAGUUACCACCACACCCUUAAUUAAUGUAAACAUCAUGAAUGCUUUGCAGUAAUUAUACAGUUGUCCCUUGGUAUCUGAGGGGGACUGGUUCCAAGACCGCCGGAGAAUACCCAAAUCCGUGCGUCCUUAAAUCUUGCAGUUGGCCUUCUGGAACCACCUCUAAAGAGUUGGCCCUUUGUGUAUGCAGGUUUCACAUCCCAUGGAUACUGUAUUUUCAAUCCUUGUUGGGUUGAAAAAAAUCCUCAUAGAAGUGGACUCAUACAGUUCAAACCCAUGUUGUUCAAGGGUCAACUGUAAUUAUUGGAUUCCAAUUGCCAAUGGUAAAAAUAAAAAAUGCUGCUUUAAAACUGCCUGCUGUCACACAGAGUAUAUUUGCACUACUACUUGUCAAAAAGAAAUCCAAAGAAAUGCUCACUGAAUUUGUUUGUUACUUUAAAAUUUUGAUUCAAUUUUGAAGGUAAUACAGUCACAUGGUUUGAAACCCAAAAGAUGCACAUCUAAAAGGCACAUGUCUGAGUCAGUUUCAUGCUGCUAUGACAGAAUACCUGGGGCUGAGGAAUUCAUAAAACAAACAAAAAAAAGGUCUCAGUUCUGGAGGCUGGGAAGUCACAGAUCAAGUGACUGGCAUCUACUGAGGGAUAUUUUGUGUGUGUCCUCACAGGAUGGACAGCAGAAGGGCAAGAGAGAGCAAAUCCCUCCAUCAGGUUCCUCUAGAAGGGCACCUAAUUUCAGUUAGAAAAAGGAGCCCUCCUGUUUUAAUUGCUUUUUUUUGAGAUGGAAUCUCACUCUGUCACCCAGACUGGAGUGCAGUGGUAUGAUCUCAGCUCACUGCAACCUCUGCCUCCCGGGGUCCAGUGAUUCUCCUGCCUCAGCCUCCCGGUUAGCAGAGACUACAGGCACACACCACCACGCCUGGCUAAUUUUUGUAUUUUUAGUAGAGACUGGGUUUCACCAUGUUGGCCAGGAUGGUCUCGAUCUCCUGACCUCAUGAUUCACCUCGCCUCGGCCUCCCAAAGUGCUGGGAUUACAGAUGUGAGCCACUGUGCCCUGCUGUAAUCACCUUUUAAAAGUCCCAUCUCCUAAUACUAUCACAUUGGCAAUACUUGAAUUUUGGAGGGGACACAUUCAAACCAUGGUGUAAUGGAAAGCUCCUUGUAGCAUUAUUUGUAAUAGUGCAAACCAAAAACAGUGUAAAUGUUCAGUGAUAGCAGAUACGUAAAUAUAGUGGCGGUCGGGCGCAGUGCUUGUGCCUGUAAUCCUAGCACUUUGAGAGGCCGAGGCGGGCAGAUUGCCUGAGCCCAGGAGUUUAAGACCAGCCUGGGCAACAUGGUGAAACCCCAUCUCUACUAAAAAUACAAAAAAUUAGCUGGGCGUGGUGGUGUGUGCCUGUAGUCCCAGCUACUCAGGAGGCUGAGGCAGGAGAAUCACUUGAACCCAGAGGCAGAGGUUGCAGUGAGCUGAGAUAGCGCCUUUGCACUCCAGUGUAGGUGACAGAGUAAGCAUCUGUCUCAAAAAAAAAAAAAAAAUGCGGUGCCAUAUUCAUGCAAUGGAAUGUCCUACGUUAAUAAAAAUGAAUAGCUACUUACUCAUGCUGUAAUGUGGACAACUCCCACAAGCAUAAGAUUGAGGCAUAAAAUUCUUUAUACCACAUGGUGCCAUUCGUAUGACGCUAUAAAAAGGCAAAACUAGUCUACGAUGUUAAAAGUCUGAUAGUGGUUACCUUUAGGGAGGCAGGAAUGUAGUGCUUUGGGAAAAUGCAUUCUUUCUGUGGUUCCAGUCCUGUUCUGUUUUAUGACCUGGAUAGCGGUGACAGUGGUUUUCUGGGCGUAUUAUUAAAGGAACGGUAAGGACCACCCACUGAUGGAAAAUGUGAGCACUAUAUUUAUUUGUUUCAAUUGAGUGAAUCCCCAAAGGGAAAAAAAAAAUCAGGAACUUUAUGUGCUAGAAAGGAGAGAUUCAUUGUGAUUUUGCCAGUUAAGAAUUGCAACUUGCACCCUGGACUGGGCAGAAUGCAUCCAUCUGUGUGUAUGUGGUUGUGUGAGGUGAGUCUCGUCCCUCUUUAGCUGGGAAAGAAUUUUCAGUUAGGUUGGGUGAGGAUCAACUCUUUGUUGUUUAUCACCUUUGCUAAUGUGUUGCUCAAAAUUUAGAGUUAUUUAACAGCUGUGACUGGGCAAAAUCACAUUCAUGUUUGAUCAAAUCCCAGGCAAGUAUUGCUAUAAUUAUUAAGUUUUUUUAAUAGUCCUUUAUAAUGAUCCUACCUUAUUCAGAGAUGAAAAGUUGACAUGAAAGGAUAAGAAAAUUAUCAAGCUUUCAGGUCCAGAUCACAUUCACAUCAGUCGUGGGUGUUGUAUUGAGUAGAUUGUUUUUGUUUCAUUGAUUUGUUAUAUAUUUAAUGACGUGUGAUUUAUAUACAGUCAAGUUCUCAUUAGUAGACAAUUCUAUGAGAUUUGAAUCUUAUACAGUUGUGUAACCACUGCUCGCACCACCCACACAAUCAAGAUGCACGAUGAUUCUAUCACUCCUAAAAAUUGCACCUUCCCCUGUUCCCCUUUUUGAUAACCAUCUGCUCCUAAAUUCCCAGUUGUCAAUUAUCCCACCGCUAUAAGGACAUACCCAAGACUGGGUGAUUUAUAAAGGAAAGAGGUUUAAUUGACCCACAGCUCUGAAAGGCUAGAGAGGCUAAGGCCUCAGAAAAUUUUCAGUCAUGGCAGAAGGGGAAGCAAACGUGUCCUCCUUCACAAGGUGGCAGGAGAGAAAAGAAUGAAUGUCCAGUGAAGGCGGAAGCCCCUUAUUAAACCAUCAGAUCUUGUGAGAACUCACUAUCACAAGAACAGGAUGGGGGAAACUGCUCCAUGAUUCAGUUAUCUCCUGGUCCCCCUGAGAACACGUGGGGAUUAUGGGAAUUAUAAUCCAAGAUGAGAUUUGAGUGGGGACACAGCCAAACCAUAUCAUUAGCCAUUGGCAACCCCUGAUUUGUUUAAAAGAUUUUCCCAUUCUACCAUAUCAAACGUUUAGAAUCUGACUUAUUUCAUGUAUUAAUAGCAGAAGGCAUUUGAGACUCAUUCAUGCUGUUAUGUGUAUCUGUAGUUCAUUCCUUUUUGUUGAUGAGUAAUAUUUCAUCAUAUAUAUAGUAUUUCACACAUAUAUGCCACAAUUUGGUGAUCUGAUCACAAGGUGAUGGACAUUUGGGCUAUUUCUGGAGUUUGUGGUCAUGAAUAAAGCUGCUUUAAACAUUUGCGUACAGGUUUUUGUGUGAAGAUCAGUUUUCAUUUCACUCGGGUAAUAUCUAGCCGUGAGAUUACUGGGUCAAGUGGUAAGUACAUGUUUAACUUUAAAAGAAACGAAUGAACCUGUUUUUCAGAGUGGCUUUACCAUUUUACUUUCCUACCAGCAAGAUAUGAGUGUUGUACCCCGUCCUUGCUAGCAGUUGGUGGUGUCAGGUUUUUAGCCAUUCUAAUAGGUGUGUAGUGGUAUCUCACUGUGGUUUUAAUUUGCACUUCCCUGGCAAGUAAUUGUAAAUUAUGUUGAGUAACUUUCCAUUUGCUGUGUCAGUCAAGUUUCUGUCUGCUAUCAGAAUGCUUCUACUUUAAAAAUUUCCUGGCCAGGCACAGUGGUGCAAACCUGUAAUCCUAGCACUUUGGGAGGCUGAGACAGGCAGAUUGCUUGCACUCAGGAGUUCAAGACCAGCUCAGGCAACAUGGUGAAACCCCGUUUCUACUAAAAAUAUAAAAAAUUAGCCAGGUAUGGUGGUGCAUGUCUGUAGUCUCAGCUACUCAGGAGGCUGAGGCAUGAGAAUUGCUUGAAACUGGGAGGUAGAGGUUGCAGUGAACCAAGAUCACACCACUGCUCUCCAGCCUGGGUGAGAGAGCGAGUCUCUGUCUCAAAAAAAAAAAAAAAUUCCUUGAACAUUUCUUGUAUUAAUAGUAUAGAUUUUCAAGUAACGAAUUCUCUCAAUUUUUGUUUAUCUGAAAAAUUCUUUAUUUGUUCUUAAUUUUUGUAAGAUAUUUUCACUGGGUAUAGAAUUCAAAGGUGGGAGCUUUGUUCUUUCUGCACUUUAAAAAUGUUAUACCUCUGGCCUGCUGGCCUGCAUAGAUUCUUUUUGUUUGUUUGUUUUAGACAGAAUCUUGCUCUGUCACCCAGGCUACAGUGCAGUGGCAUGAUCUCAGCUCACUGCAAUCUCUGCCUCCCUCGUUCAAGCAAUUCUCAUGCCUCAGCAUCCUGAGUAGCUGGGAUUACAGGCAUGCACCACUAUUCCUGGUCUUUUUCUAUUAUUUGUUUGUUUGUUUUAAUUCUAGCAUUUCCAUUUGAUUCUUUCUCAUAGUUUUUAUUUUUUGGUUGAAAUUCCUCAUCUGUUCACGUAUGUUGUCAACUUUUCCACAAGGCUUCAACAUAUUAAUCAUAGUUAUCUUGAAUUUCCUGUCUGACGGUUCCAACAUCCAGUCAUACCUAAGUCUGGCUCUGUUGAUUGUUCUGUUUCUUGCUUUCUUGUGUGUCUUGUAAGUUUUAGUUGAAAGCCAAACAUGGUGUGUUGCACAGUAAGGGCUUAAGUGAAUGGCAUUUUGCAUAGAAAUGGGAACACAUCCUCUUCUGCUACGCUUUUAGUAUGGGGAGCUGAGUCAAUAUAGGUGAUAUUUGAGUUGGGCUUGGGUUCUGCUGUUGCUAUGGCUACUGUCAGUGAACCACAAGAUUCAAAAUUCUCUAGUUUUACCUUGUGCAUAGAUUAGGGUUGUGCUGCCAGAGUGUUUUCCCUGUUAAACUCUCAGCUGUGGUCCUGUGGUCCUGUGGUCCUGUGGUCCUGUGGUCCUGGGGUCCUGGGGUCCUGUGGUCCUGUGGUCCUGUGGUCCUGGGGUCCUGUGGUCCUGGGGUCCUGUGUCUCAAAGAGAAGGGGCACAUGGAAAAAGCUGAGGCUACUGGAGGGAUGAAGAAUUGGGGUCAUCAUCACUCUCUACCAAAGGUGCUAAUUUUUCAGAAUUCAGUUGUGUUUUUUCAGAGCCACUUUAGAACCCUUUCCGUUUAGGAUCACGUGAUGUUUGUAGAGAUGGUACAGCAGCAUUUCAGAACCUGUUUGGAAAUCAUUUGAGAGCAGCAAUGAUUAGAAACAGAGAUAGAAACAGCAUAAUGAAUAGUUACAAAGUACCCCUCCUUUUGUCAAACUCAAGCCAUGAGACUAGGUUUCAGCUGUAUGCAUUAUCCCACUUUGGACAACCGGUUGGCUUGUCCUUGAAUUUUAUGUGAGGAACUCUCAUUGAUCCAGCUGCAUAGGAGGUAUUAGUCAGGACACAAAUACCACUGUGCUCUGUUAGUGUAUAAUCAAAGGCAAUUCUGUUGUCUAGUAACACUUCAUCAAGAAAGUUCAGGCUCAUUUUUUUUUAGCCUAUAGUGCAAAUAUAGUUUUAUUUGAAAUGAUUACCAUGGCAAUAGAGAUUUUGUAUACUGCAAGAUAAGGAAAGAUACCUUACAUAGAGAUAUGGAUCUCACCAUUUCCAAUCCCCCCAAAUAGAUUUGCCUUCCAUUGAGAGCAGCAGACUGGUGUAAAACAUGCUUCACAGCAAUGGGGAAUUUAAAAAUGCAUCCAAGUUCUUAUUAAUGCAAGUCCUUCCACAGUUAAAAACUGGCCAGAUUCAGUACAGAUUUUAUAUGAAAUGUUGCCUUCAAAGCGUAAGUUCUACUUUCAGUGUGCAAUGAAUGUGAAUUCUCCAACUGGGAGGUCAUCCUGCCAUCUCCACAGCUCUUAGCAGAAAGGAGGCCCUGGGGUGUGUUGCUCCUCUCUACAGGUAGUUGAUUGCUGGAGUGGGAAGUCCCUCUCUGCAGCUUGUCAUCUUAUCAUCUCUCCUGCUCUGGCUGAGCCUGGGGCUUUUAUGGGCCUCAGAGCAGGGAAGUGCAUGCUGAUUGGUCCAUGGGCAGCUAUGGGCAGGCCUAGGAAAAAGCACCAUGAGUUCCUCUCCAGUCCACAGGACUGGCAGCCUAGCCCCCAGGCUUCAGGCCUUCCUCAGCCUGAAGGUAGGGCUUCACUGGGGACCUACCCCCUUCCACCAAGGAACCUGUCUGCCUCCUGCUGCUGUCCAUGGCACCCAGGCUGCUUGAGCCAAGGGGCACCUGCAGGCCAGCACCAAGCUGCCCUCAGGCCCUCCUUGGCUUGCCCUCCCAUGCUCGUGGGCGCCCAAAGCCUGUAGGGAGCUGAGGUGGCAGGUAGCUGUGUGUGAGUGCUGCCCCAAGUGUAUAUACACCCAGUUGGGCUGUGACAGUGCCCAGGCUUGGCCCCAACCCUACUCCAAGAUCAAAGUGGGUGCUGAGAGCUGGGAGAGACCAGGCAGUGGAGCAGAAUCCCCUGAGCCUGUGGAGACAGGGAGCUUCCCAGGCCCCCAAGGGUGCAGACUGUAGACAUGGCUGGGUGUUGUACCUGGGAAGGCAGUGCAGAGGCACCGGGAAGGGCAGGGGUCUGGCCUGCUCCUGGGGAUGGGGCCUGCCUUCCUGCUGCAUCUGGCAUCUUGGCAACAGCCACUCUAGAUGGGCCAUUUCUGCCAUCUCCUUCCUAGAAUCCUUUCCAGAGUGUCUCCAGAGAAUAUUUCUAACUGGUGUGUUUUCCAGAAUACCUAAUACCAAGAUUGAAGGAGUGUAGAGGCUCUGAGGGUGAGGUUUUUGAAAAUCUAGUUUGCACUCAUGGAAGAUAAGAAUAAUUAUUGAAUUUCUCUUUGACAGUAUUUAGCUAGGUCUUCCUGAAGCAAGGUCAAAUCAAUAACAAAUGGUAAAAUUUACAGGUGCAUGGGUCUUUUGUACUUGUUAAUUCAUAAGGUUACAGUCUAUAAGUUCCAGAACAGGCUGACCUGAUGUCCACUAGGGGUAAAAAUCUCAGCUACGGGGAUGUUUAAGAGCUUCAGAUAACUUAACCAGUUUUAUUAUUUUUGUGUUUCAGAGACAGAGGUCUUUAUCUGUUGCCCAGGCUGGCAUGCAGUAGUGCAAUUAUAGCUCACUGCAGUCUCAAACUCCUGGGCUCAAGUGAUCCUCUCACCUCAGCCUCCCAAGUGGUUGGGACUGCAGGGGCAUGACAUCAUCCCUGGCUAAUGUAUUGUACUUUGUUUUAUUUUUUUGGAGACAGGACCUCACUAUGUUGCCCAGGCUGCUCUUGAACUCCUGGCCUCAAGCAGUUUUCCUGCCUCCAAAGCAGGACAGAAAGCCAGAAACAAGAAAAAAGAAAAACAAAAAGCUUCCAGAUAGCUGGGGUAGUAGGCACACAUCACUGCCAACUUCAGUUGUGUAGUUACAUUUGUACCGCUACCUGUCUUGGGAACUGUGGAGGGUAAGGGUAACAAGAUUUCUUUUUUUUUGAGGUGGAGUCUCACUCUGUCGCCCAGGCUGGAGUGCAAUGACAUGAUCUCAGCUCACUGCAACCUCUGCCUCCCAGAUUCAACUGAUUCUCCUGCCUCAGCCUCCCAAGUAGCUGGGACUAUAGGCAUGUACCACCACACCCGGCUAAUUUUUGUAUUUUAGUUCAUGAGAUUUCACCAUGUUGUACAGGCUGGUCUUGAACUCCUGACCUCAGGUGAUCCACCUGCCUCAGCCUCCCAGAGUGUUGGGAUUACAGGUGUGAGUCACCGUGCCUGGCCUAGAUUUUUGAUGAACUAGUAACAGCUCUCCAAGUUCCUUUAUGACUACUCCAGUAAAUGAGUGCCUUUAACUUUAGUAAGGUUCACCUCCCAGGUGGGAAAAACCAUUGCCUAACUUGAUUUAUUUUUUAGUUUAGUUGUUGCAGUGGCUUUUCUACUUGAGAAGAGCUCACCUUCAGAGAAUUUACAGGCAACCCUAGUACAUGUGCGUCAUCUGGUGAAUUGGGAAAGUGGAUAAAACCCAUCUUUAAGUGUUUCAAAGUCCUCUGGGAUAUGGCUCAGGCUGUCUGUGUCCCACCAUCACGGUUUUUCUUUUUGUGUGGGGGUGUGGUUAUGAUAGUACAGAUGAGGCAUAGGCCUUUCACAUCUCUAGCUACCGAGGGGAAGUGUCCCCACUAAUUUAUUCGUGGUGGAAGCAGCGUUGUGCAUUUUGGUCAAUGUUUUCCUCAGUUUUUUGGUGUAACCAGGUGGCCAGCCUUGCUGCAUUAGAGACUACUGAAAUUGAUCCAACAACCUGAUUUUAACCAGUGUUUCUAUUUUCUUUUCUUUGAGACAGAGUCUUACUCCGUCACCCAGGCUGGAGUGCUGUGGCGCAGUCUCCGCUCACUGCAACCUCCGCCUCUCAGCUUCAAGCCAUUCUCCUGCCUCAGCCUCCCGAGUAGAUGGCAUACAUCAGCACGCCUGGCUAGUUUUUGUAUUUUUAUUAGAGACAGGGUUUCACCAUGUUGGCCAGGCUGGUCUCAAACUCCUGACCUCAGGUGAUCUGCCUGCCUCAGCCUCCCAAAGUGCUGAGAUUAUGGGUGUGAGCCACCAUGCCUGGCCCAGUGUUUCUGUUUUCUGAAUCUAGGGUUAAAUACUCUGUCUGAAAAAAAUUGUGUGUUAAAAAAAAACAAUUUUUUUUUUACAUUUUCUUCAUCAUGAAUAACUCCUAAGAGCAAGGGGAAAAGUGUACUUCCUUUGUUUAAUAUCUGCCAAUGCAAUCCCGUCACCUUAUUGUUGCUUGUACUAUGUGCCUUCACUUUUAAUUGUAUGCCUUUUGGGCAUGCUUCUAAUAAAUCUAUUUCUUCUCCAUUUUUUAGGCCUCCCUGAUGAGGUCAGCUAUUCCUUCAGUGCCACAGUAUCACCAAAUUAUGUACAACACCGAAGGCAUAAUAGCUGUGUGUGUGUGUGUGUGUGUGUGUGUGUGUGUGUGUGUGUGUACGUGUGUUCCUUUCGACACCAGCUCUGGUAAGGGCUACUAGUUCUAGUAUUUGAGCUGGCUCAACUUUGAGUGAAAGGUAUCUUCUAAUACAGUUUUUCUUUGUUGUUGUUUGUUUGUUUGAGACAGAGUUUAUGUUGUUGCCCAGGCUAGAGUGCAAUGGCGCGGUCUUGUCUCACUGCAGCCUCUGCCUCCUGGGUUCAAGCAAUUCUCCUGCCUCAGCCUCCCAAGUAGCUAGGACUACAGGUGCACGCCACCACACCCGGCUAAUUUUUUGUAGUUUUAGUAGAGAUGGGGUUUCAGCAUGUUGGCCAUGCUGGUCUUGAACUCCUGACCUCAGGUGAUCCGCCUGCCUCGGCCUCCCAAAGUGCUGGGAUUACAGGCAUGAGCCACUGCUCCUGGCCCUAAUACGGCUUUAUGUUGUCACUGCAUAACUCCAGUGGUAUUGACCUUGAUCAUUUAAAAAGAAUGCUUGCAAUCCAGUCUAUCAUCAAUGGGCAUUGGGGUGGAUUCCAGGUCUUUGCUAUUGUAAACAGUGCUGCAAUGAACAUUCGUGUGCAUGUGUCCUUAUAGUAGAACGAUUUAUAGUCUUUUGGAUAUAUACCCAGUAAUGGGAUUGCUGGAUCAAAUGGAAUUUCUAUUUCUAAGGCCUUGAGGAAUCGCCACACUGUCUUCCACAAUGGUUGAACUAAUUUACACUCCCACCAACAGUGUAAAAGUGUUCCUUUUUCUCCACAUCCUCUCCAGCAUCUGUUGUCUCCAGAUUUUUUAAUGAUCGCCAUUCUAACUGGCGUGAGAUGGUAUCUCACUGUGGUUUUGAUUUGCAUCUCUCUGAUGACCAGUGACGAUGAGCAUUUUUUUAUGUUUGUUGGCCUCAUGUAUGUCUUCUUUCGUAAAGUGUCUGUUCAUAUCCUUUGCCCACUUUUGAAUGGGCUUGUUUGUUUUUUUCCUGUAAAUCCAUUUGAGUUCUUUGUAAAUUCUAAAAUGUGGCACAUAUACACCGUGGAAUAUUAUGCAGCAAUCAGAAAUGAUGAGUUUGUGUCGUUUGUAGGGACAUGGAUGAAUCUGGAGAACGUCAUCCUCAGGAAACUGACACAAGAACAGAAAAUGAAACACCGCAUAUUCUCACUCAUAGUUUCUCAGCAGAAGAGGCCAACAGCAUCUGAGGAUCCCUGUGCUGGAUUCCUGGCAGUUCCCUCCCUCCCCAGGGUGAACAGUCCUUUUGUGUAAGGAUUUACUUACCUUCCUGGCCUGCGUGUUUGACAUUCUGAACAAAGUCUCUGGGGAAGUAAACUUUAUGUUUGAACUAUGUUUAUGUUAAGCCUUAUCUAUUCAAAAAUCAUUAUGUAUAGCUGAUUAUAAAAUAAUUACUUAUAGAAAAUGUGAACAAAUAUAGAAAUGUUUUCAGCGGAACAUAAGUCACUCUAAAUCUCUCAACCCAGAAAUACUGCUGUCACCAUCUUGAGCAUUUCAGUCUCAUCUCUGGAAUAUAUUUAUAUAUAUUCAUGUCUUACAAAAUUAGGGUCAAAUUAUAUAUACUGAGGAGGCAGCAAGCUUUAAAAAUAAAAUAACCCCUGGCUCACAGACUGAGGGAAUAAUACAAUUUGAAGAUGCGAGAGAAAAACAAGUAUGUUGGCAUCAGGGUUGUUUUUCAGAUUAAUCUGAGAUGGUAGCAUUGUGUCAGCGUCUUGUUUUUCUACAGUCCUGGAUGUGCUGAUGGACUUUUGGCACAAUCAUGCUGUGUAACAGACAACGCCACAAUUUCAGUGGCUUGUAGCAACCAGUGUUCAUUCUUCACGCACAGCUGUGCAGGUCACUGGGCGCAGCUGCACUGGCCUCUGAGUUGCAGGGUGGCCUCUGAUGCGCCCCAUGGGCUCUUCCUCCUUGGAUCAGCAGCACCUGGAUGUAUUCUCAUGGUCAAGGGCCCAUUCUAGGCCUUUGCUCACACCUCACUGCUAAUGCUCCAUUGGCCAAAGCAGCAGUAACAGCAUGGGGGAGCGCCCUUCAUCCACAGCAGGCACGAGGGCAGGAGGAAAUCAUCCCAAUGGCCACACGUGACACGAGAUUGCUUUUCCAUCCCCGUGAAGAGCUACAGAUUUGGUGAGAGUUGUGGUAGCUGGUUUGGGCUUGGAAGGAGCUGCAGAGAGGGCCUGCUUUAGCACCAGAUGGAGUUUCUCUUUCUUUCUGUCCUUGAAGACAGAACCAGCUCCUUUUUUUCUGUGUCAGUAUCUCUGGCUCCUGCAUAGAGGGGUUUGGCUCACCGAGAGAAAGAGACAUUUGGUGUCAAAUAGAUUUAUGUUCUGGAGGCCUUUUUCUUCCAGAGCAGCCUUACCUCAUCAGAAUGUGGAAGAGACCUGGCUUAAGAGGUCCCAGUAUUGACGACAGCAGCCAAUAUUUUAGACAGAUCUUUUCCCUGCCUCAGCAGUGGUGACUCCAUCCUGAUUUUAUAAGAUAGGAGCAGAUCUGCAAUUAAAGCCUGUAAAUCACAAGUGGCUGGAGCAGACACCUCUGUUUCGAUUCCUGGAUAGGCUGUGGUCUCACAUCGUCAGCAGUGCAUGGCUGGGGCUCCAAUGAUCAGUCUCAGAUGUCCUGAACUCACAGGGAUCUGCUUCCAUGGACCUCGUAGGCAUGCUAUGGCUGUGCCCUGGGCAGCCUUCUCUCUCACUAUUCCUUGGCAGGAGAAUGGGUGGUCAUGGCCCAGUCCUGCCGCACUUCCACGCUCCUCCACGUCCUCUUCGUCUUCUGUCCUACACCCGGGGUGCACAUCCCACCCUACAGUGCAGGGUUCCCGAGCACUCUAUGGACAAGACUGGGUGUCCCAGGCUCACAGGAGCCCCAGCAUGUCCCCUGUGAUAUAUUGUGAACCCUGUUUCCUGGCACACAACUCCUGAAAUCCUAGCAACUCCACAGCGAUGUCUUUUUGUACACAAAUGAAUUGACUGCUGGCUGGCAGCCCCUAGGGAGCUUCAGGAUGGGGCUGGUUACGAGAAAUGCCUAGGCAGGAUUAGAGGGUUAGGACUUUCAGCCGCACCCCACAACCCGGAGGGUGAGUUGAUCACCAAUCGCCAGUGGUUUAAUCAGUCAUGAAGCUUCAAUAAAAACCCAAAGGACUGGAUGCGAGGAGCUUUUGGAUGGCUGAACAUGAGGAGCUUCUUGGAGUGUGGUUCCAUAGAAGCUUCGUGCUCCCUCUCCCACACCUCACCCUCCGCAUCUCUUUGUUUGUAUCCUUUGUAAUCAACCACUAAAGGUAAGUUAAGUGUUUCUCUGAGUUCUAUGAGCUGCUCCAGGAAAUUAAUCAAAAGAGGAGCCAUGGGAGCCCCAACUUGAAGCCAGUCAGUCAGGAGUUCUGGAGGCCUGGACUUGCUCCUGGUAUCUAGCAGGGCUGGGAGGGAGGGAGUCUUGGGCCCGGAGCCCGGAGCCCGGAGCCCUCACCGUCUGGGAUCUGAUUCUGUCUCCAGGUGAACAGUACUAGAAUUGUCCCCAGCAGAACCGAUUGCUUGUUUAUUGUUGGGGAGAAAUCCCCGCAUAUUUGGCCACAGAAGUCUUCCAUGUUGAUUGUUGUGAGGUGGGAGAGUAGAAAAAGCAAUUUGGGUUUGUAUGGGAGUGUUUCCUACUUUUACAGCCCCAAAUAAGAGUGGGGGUUGUAGGGAAGAGGUGGGUGGAGCCCGCAGUAAGUUGCAGGGCUGUGUCCCCGCAGUGCUGGAGGGGACUGUGUGCACUUGUGCUGGGAAGGGAUCCUGGCAAAGGAGCCAGCAGCAAAGGGUGACAGUUCGUACCUUUUACCCCACAGGGCAGGAUGCUCUAAGCUUGUCUGGCAAACUGGCUAAUCCUCCUGAACACUGAACCUCAGGAUCUCCGCCACCCUCCCCUACAGCAGGCACUUGGUAUCUGGUACACAUGACGAGGCACCUGAAGACCUCAUUCCUGGGGCAUCCCCAGCCACCACGCCAGAGGUGCCAGGUGUGGCCAGCCUAGUGCAGCUGCCAGUGGAAAAUAACAGCCCCACCACUGGCUGUACCUGGUGAGGGUGUUUCUGAAAGGGAUUGGAGUUUGAAUCCAUUGAGUAAAGAUCAUCCUUUUCAAUGUGGGGGACAGCAUAUCCCAUCCGCUGAGAACCCAGACAAAACAGAAAAAGGAGGAGGCACAAAAGUCAUGGCGCAGGAGGCUCAUAUGGAACUCGGACAAGCCAAGAAGGGGAGGUUCUUAUCUGAGAUUGUAAACAAACAUUCUCCCGGGAGAGAUUUUAAAAACCUUUUAAUGGAAAGACAAAGCAGACACAGAAAUCCACCCAAAUCAAAUGUGGAGCUGGGUAAGUUAUUGUGAGGUGAGUGAGCUUGUAAUCACCCUCUCUGGUCAAGAAAUUAGACAUCGCCAGCUGCCCCAGCGUCUCCUCCGUGUGCCUGGACCCAAUGACCAUCCCCUUCCUUCUCUUUCAAAGUAGUCACUCUGAUUUAUAGUAAUCACUUCCUUUCAUUUCUGUAUGGUUUUAUCACUCAAGUAGCUAUCCCUAGACACUGUAGUCUACCCUUUGUUUUGCUUUUGAGACAGGGUCUCACUCUAUCACCCAGGCUGGAGUGCAGUGGCACAAUCAUGGGUCACAAUAGCCUCGACUUCCUAGGGCUCAAGUGAUCCUCUCACUUCAUCCUCCUGAGCAGCUGGGACUGCAGGUGCGUUCCACCAUGCCAGGCUAUUUUUUUGUAUUUUUUGUAGAAAUAUAAUUUGAUUAUGUUGCCCACAACUCUAGGCUCAAGUGAUCUGCCUGCCUCAGCCUCCCAAAGUGCUAUGAUGACAGGCGUGAGCCACUGCCUCCGGCCUAUAGUUUAGCCUUGCCCAUUAAAAAUUUGUAAUACAUAGUGUAAUAUGUGGUCAAGUCUCUUUUAAUGUACAGGUUUCCCCUCUAUCUCUCGCUCUCCUUUUUUUUUGAUACAGGAUCUUGUUCUGUCGCCCAGGCUGGAGUACAGUGGCAUGAUAUGAUACCUGCUCACUGCUACCCCUGCCUCCCAGGUUCAAGUGAUUCUCCUGCCUCAGCCUCCCAAGUAGCUGGGAUUAUAGGCACCUGCCACCACACCUGGCUAAUUUUGUAUUUUUAAUAGAGACGGGGUUUCACCAUGUUGGCCAAGAUGGUCUUGAACUCCUGACCUCAGGUGAUCCACCUCAACUUGACCUCCCAAAGUGCUGGGAUUACAGGUGUGAGCCACCGUGCCUGGCCUCCCUCUAUCCCUUUCUUUCCCCUACAGUUUACCUGCUGAAGUGCCCAGGACAUUUGGUAUCUGGAGUUUGCCUACUAUACCCUCUUGGUGCAGUUCAACAUGAUUACUCUGUCUUCCGGGUUUCCUGCAAAUUGGUACCUGGAACCAGACUGAACUGGAGGCUAGCUUGAUCCCUUUUGCAGGAUAUAAAUGGCGUGUUCUUUCAGCAGGAGGCAUUCAUGUCUUGUUUCCACACUAUUUCAACGUUAGCCGCUGUCGAUGCUCAGUGCAUAUGUCUGUUAACUAAUUGUGAUUUGCAAAAUGAUGACAUCUUAAUUCAAUGUAUUUUUCAAUGAUUGGUUGCAAUAUUAUUAUAAAAAGACACUUCCAGCUGAGCACAGUGGCUCACGCCUGUAAUCUCAGCACUUUGAGAGCCUAAGGAGGGCGGAUCACUUGAGGUCAGGAAUUUGAGAUGAGCCUGGCCAACAUGGUGAAACCCCUCUCUACUAAAAAUACAAAAUUAGAUGGGUGUGGUGGCAUGUGCUUCUAGUCCCAACUACUCAGGAGGCUGAGGCCAGAGGGUUGCUUGAACCAGGAGGCAGAGGUUGCAGUGAGCUGAGAUCAUGCCACUGCUCUCCAGCCUGAGUGACAGAGUAAGACUCUGUCUCUCACAAAAAAAAAAAAAAAAGGCCGGGCAUGGUGCCUCACACCUAUAAUCCCAGCACUUUGGGAGGCCAAAGCUGGUGGAUCAUGAGGUCAGGAGUUUGAGACCAAUCUGUUCGAGACCAGUCUGGCCAACAUAGCGAAAACCCAUCUCUACUAAAAAUACAAAAAACUAGCCAGGUGUGGUGGUGUGUACCUGUAAUCCCAGCUACUCAGGAGGCUGAGGCAGGAGAAUUGCCUGAACCCAGGAGGUGGUUUCAGUGAGCCGCGAUCACACCACUGCACUCCAGCCCGGUGACCGUCCAAGACUCCAUCCCCGACCCCCCCCAAAAAAAGAUACUUCUUCUCAUCUACAACCUGGUUUUCCCAUGAUACACUUCAUAUAGAAAGGCAAGAUAAUUGUUUUCUAAUUUGCCAGUUUUUAAGAUAAUGAGUUGUUUCCCUAUUAUGCUCUGAGGGCAACCAACGAGUUUUGAAAAAUAUGAUUAUAAACUUCUGAAUUUAAAUAUAUUUGGUGGGUUCGAAUGCAUUGUAAUGAGUUUCUUAUUGACACUUGCGUUUUUUUUUAAUCUUUAGCAAAUAAAAACAUCUAAAGUGGGCUCUUGACCCCUUUUGGCAUUGCUCCAGUGUAACAGCCUUUCACAGCUCUUUUGCAGUCCUGUAUGAUCCCAAGCUUCAGCUCAGCCAUUUAUUUUAUUGAGAAAUGGUAUAUUAUUUCAGGACCACAGUCUGGGCCCUUGGGAUGCUCAUUGCUACUGGAUUGAUCAUUGUUUCUAGAUUUUUUCAGUGGACAGAGCUACGAAACACACACACACACACACACACACACACACACACACACACAGUUAUCUACACAGAUAGACAACCUGUCUCAUGAAUUCAUAUUCCUAUUUCUAGUUCAAAUUGAGGACUACAGAGCUCUGUAUAUAACCUAGCCUGGGUAUCUCUCCAGCUCCUUUCCUCUACCUCAAAAAUCUGGUUUUCAAGAUCACAAGGAUGAUCGAAUUGAAUAUCCUAUAAUACCUCAUUUGCUUAAUCCUGUAUUAUGCGAAGUAUCUCCUAAUACUGAUACUGAUACUACCAGAACCAACUGAUUGCCGAAAGUAGUUCCAAGUUUUAUACAUGCUUUCCCCAUUCAACUCAUUUAAAAAAAUAGCCAAAUUACAUCUACAUUGUCAUAGUGUAUAACCAGUACAUACUAUACUUUUCUUUUUCUUUCUUUUUUGAGAAAGAAUCUAGCUCCGUGGCCCAGGCUGAAGUGCAGUGGUGCAAUCUGGGCUCACUGCAACCUCCACCUCCCAGGUUCCAGUGAUUCGCAUGCCUCAGCCUUCUGAGUAGCUGGGAUUACAGGUGUGUAUCACCACGCCCAGCUAAUUUUUGUAUUUUUAGUAGAGAUGGUGUUUCACCAUGUUGGUCAGGCUGGUCUGGAACUCCUGACCUAAAGGGAUCCACCCACCUCAGCCUCCCAAAGUGCUGGGAUUACAGGUUUGAGCCACCAUGCCUGGCCUAGACUUGCUUUUUAACACUCAAUUGGUAUUUUAGAAAAUAACACCUUUCUGAAAUAUAAUUCACAUACCAUAAAAUUCACUCUUUUAAAGCAUACAAUUCAUUGUUUUUUAGUGUAUUCACAGAGUUAUGCAACCAUCAUCACUAUCCAAUUUUAGGACUUCUUUUGUCACUUGAAAAAGAAACCUCUACCCAUUUGUAGAGAUUCCCAUUCCUCCUGUUUCCAGCUCUGACAGCCACUAAUCUGUUUUCCUUCUCUCUGUGGAUUUGCCUCUUCUGGGCAUUUCAUACCAAUAGACUGAUGGCCUUUUGUGACUGGCUUUUUCCACUUAGCAUAGUAUAUUCAAAGUUCAUCUAUGUUAUACAUGUAUCAGUACCUAAUGACUUUUUGUGGCUGAAAAUCUUGUCUAGUUGUGAUAGACAACAUUUUGUUUGUUUGUUCAUCUGCUGAAGGAUGUAUAGGUUAUUACCACUUUUGGCUAUUAUGAAUCAUAGUGCUGUCAAUAUUUGUAUAUGAGUUUUUGUGUGAAAAUAUGUUUUCAGUUCUCUUGGGUAUAUGUCUAUGACUGGAAUUGCUGAGUCACAUGGUAAAUCAAAGUUUAACAUACUGAGAAAUUGCCAGACUGUUUCCAAAGUCGUUGUGCCAUUUUCAGUUCCCACUAGCUGUGGAUGUUGCAUUCCUCUUAUAUACACCUAAUUCCAUCAGAGAGCUAAUAUGUACUUCCGAAAAAUACAUGAAAAUGAGUGCUUUAUAAGACUGUAUGAAGUUUCCACUGUCUCCGUAUCCUCACCUGCACUUUCUAUCAUCCAUAGCUUUGAUUCUGAUCAUCUUUUCAUGUGUGUGUAAAGAGGUGUCUCACUGGCCAGGCGCGGUGGCUCAUGCCUGUAAUCCCAGCACUUUGGGAGGCUGAGGUGGGUAGAUCACGAGGUCAAGAGAUCGAGACCAUCCUGGCCAACAUGGUGAAACCUCGUCUCUACUAAAAAUACAAAAAUUAGCUGGGUGUGGUGAUAUACACCUGUACUCCCUGCUACACGGAAUGCUGAGGCAUGAGAAUCACCUGAACCUGGGAGGCGGAGGUUGCAGUGAGCCCAGAUUGCACCACUGCCCUCCAGCCUGGGCAACAAAGAGAGACUCUGUCUCAAAAAAAAAAAAAAAAAAAAAGAGGUAUCUCACUAUGGUUUUGAUUUACAUUUCCCUAAUGACUGAUGAUGCUGAGUAUCUCUGCAUGUGCUUAUUGGCUAUUUCUUUUUUUAGAGGGUUUCACACAAUUCAAUAUGAUUUGAAAAUGAUCAGAGACAAAUUUCAGUGAAUCAGUAAUUUUGAAAAUGGAUGUGCUUCUCUGAAAAAUCAGGAAUGAUGUUGAGCCUCCUAUUUGUGUAUAUAGGGGUAUAAAAAUAUAUAAUAAGUGUAUCAAAGGAUUUCCUAAUUAGCUUUAGUCCUUGCAGUCUUAUAAAGCACUCAUUCUCAUGUAUUUCUCUGAAGUUCAUAUCAGCUGUCCGACGUAACUAGGUGUAUAUAAGAGGAAUGCGACAUCAGCGGACACGUAGGUUGAUAUCACGACCUGGCUACUGUGAACAAUGCCGCAGUGAAGGUGGACUGCAGAUAUCUCUGCAAGCAGCGUCCAGGGAGUCCAGCGUGCUUCCAGCCCUUCAAUGACAGUCACCUGAACAAACGUGCCCAGGACGCCGGCGGACAGGUGGAGGGUCACUGUGUAGUAGUCUCCAUAACACUGAACCCAGCGUGCUAGAAGUUCUUUCCAGUAGACUGAAAGUUCCUUGGGUACAGGGAGUUUGCAACUCACUCUUCCAUCCUCAGUGCCUGGCACAUAGUGGGUGUAUACUAUUUUUCGAAUAGUAUACAAUGUCAAUAAACUGUAAUUCACUAAUUUGUUAGGCUAUUGUCUGUUUCUGAGUCCCUUAAAGGCAGGGAUUUUUGUCUGUUUUGUUCACUCAUGUACUCUGAGAACCUUAAAAAAAAAAAAGCCUUAUGAUUAGAGAGCUCUUUAUGAACUUCUGUUGGAGGAAUGAAUGGGAAAGAUGAUCACAAUGGGAACCUAACUUAUCGCCACUCCAGGAUCAUGUUUUGAAACAUUGUACGGUUUGAAGCUCUUAAAAAGUGCUGCACUGCCAACUUCUAAACAGAAAAUGCCUCCAGGAAAUUGGAAUUUGUAUUGGAGUGCUCUAAACAAUGCCGGUCAGAGGCUUAGUCCUGUUACAGAUAAGAACUGGGGGAGAAGGCACCGUUUGGCCACCGGCCAACAUUUUGAAAUCAGCCACGUUAUCUGUGGAAUUCCUCACCCCCUGUUCAUCCCUUGGCCAUCUCGUUAAAUUGGAAAAUAAAUCCCAUCCCUGCUAAGGUGUUGGCUGAUAAAGACUUGAGCUAUAGCCCCUUCAAGAGGAAUUUGCAUUUUAAUAGAGGAUCGUCAAGCCCCAAAGGAAUCAAUAUCUCUAACGGUGAAAUUUCAAGCACCAGCAACUGAGAUACUUUGGGAUGAGACUCUCCAGCGUUUCUCAUCCGACAGUAAGGUCUGCCGGAAAGGCACGGAAGAACGGUCUCAGGAAAUAACCGGCCUUUCCCUUUGUGACUCUGAACUUUGCCUUUUCAAGUCUGGUCCCUUCGGACUCCCUAACGCAAGUGGAUCUCUUAAUCUGUCACUGCAGCCCUUUUCAACACAAGAAGUCUUAAAAGUUGGCUCAUCCACAGGGCCAGAAAGGAAUUAUGGCAAUUAAAACCUGCAGGUUUUCUUGGUAUUCCAAGGAAGCCAAUUCUUAGAUAUUUAAAAUCCUAUGUUGGCAAGAGGGAGUGGAGAUGGUUUAAUCGGUUAUUAAUGAUAUUCCUCAUUUACAUUCGUUUUGUGCAAUUUUUUAAAAAAACUUUUAACUUUUAUCAAAAGCAUGCAAACCAAAGGUGGGUAAGAGACAUCGUGUAUGAGACUCCCUGGCAAUGUUCUCAAUGUCCUCUGGAGCUGAGUUCUCAGAGGAUGGCUUGGGAGAUUCUCGAACUGCAGAAAAGCGGCAUCUUGGAUCUUGGAUUUCUGCAUUCGAGAGAGGCUGCUGUCCGCCACACCUGCCGCCCAGCGCUCGGAAUUACCCCCUUGUGUGCUCCCAGGCAGUCAGUCUCCGCGUCCUCAGCGCCCCGCGCGCCCAUCCCGAGCCGGCUCCGGGCUCUGAGGGCUCCGCUGGCCCGCGGCCCGGCUCCCGGGCCCCUCCGAGUCGCUGGCCCUGGGCUUCGCCGCGGAGGCUGCUGCCCUCGCCCUUGAUGCGCUGCCGCCCCCGCUCUCCUCCCGCAGCCCCGCCGCCGC